ACACCGAGGGACGUCUUUGAAGUAAGUAUCUAUGUUUACUUGAUCCUUGAUUUUGUACAUAUUAUCUCCUAAGUUACUAUGCGAUAAAUUUAUUAAAGACCUAUUCGCACUUUGAUUGCAGGAUUGGCUACAUGAUAUCUUACUUAUGGAUUCACAUAAAUAUUUUAAUUGGAGAUUUACCUCAUGAAUAUCAUGCUCGUGUGAUGCGUUGAGUCGUGUUUGGGAACGCAUAAACUGUAUGACUCUUGAUGGUGUGGCGUCUUCCUCUCCUACUGCUGUUGUUGGCGCAGGUUGACCAGUCGGACCUGCAUGUGCUGGUGGCGCAAGAACAGGAUGAUGUGAUGGAGUUGUAUACGAUUGCGUAGUUGGCGCAUGAUUCACAGGAUUUGGAUACGUUGGAAGAGUUUGUCCAAACUGUGGAACACUCCCCAACCCAUAACCAAGAUACUGCUGAGGUUGUGCAGACGACGCAGGUGGGACCAUACCAGGCGCAGGAUUCAAUAUCGGUACGUUUCCAGGACUCGUACCAAUAGUUGUUUGUGGUACAUUUCCAGCCAAUACUGUCGUGGGUAGGGUGGAAUUGGCUUUCGACACUGAUGGUGCUAUUGUCGUGAUACCAUGAGCACCUGGAAUAUCUGGCGGAGUAGCGUAACUUGGUGAAGUUGCGUCAACAAUGGUACCCAAUCCAGCAGUGUUAUUUGUUGUAGCUGUUGUGUUGACGACGAUUGUUGUCACAACCAUUGGAACAUCUGCUGAUGAUGUCGUGUGUUUGUUGGACCGUGUAGUCGGCAUCCUCUGGCAGUUCACCUAGACGUUACGCUCGUACGAACAAAGAAAAAAAAAUUAGUAACUCGAUCAAACUACCCUACGCUAUAUGCUACCAACUGUGGCAUUUUUAAGAUGACUUUAUAUUAAAAUCUUCUAUAAACUUGCCAACUGUGGCAUCGAUGACAAGUGGAAGCGUUUUUUAUCCGCGAUCUUAGUAAGUGUGAUCGAAUCUGAAAAAAAAAAUUAAAGUGGACAAAGGACGGUCUAGGACUUGAGUAGAAGUCUAUUAAGCGACUACAACUCUAUGGGCUAUCAAUGAAAUGUCAAAAUACUGACGACAACAAAAAACACAUCGUUUACAAAUAUGUCAGUACUAAAGUUAAAAUCAUUAAAUGAAUUAAAAAAAAAAUAAGAAACUAAAAAAGAUCACAACUUCACAAAAAUCACAAGGCGACAUAACCUUAUUAAAGUAAAUCUCCAAUUACUAUUAGAUACGGAUUAAAACAGAAGAAAAAAUAACAACCGUACCUUAAAAUCUAGGAAAGACCACCAUAGGAAACCGAGCGGUACACAGCCAAACAAACAACACCAGCCGUUGAUGAAAUGUCCAGAUUAAAUUGCCCAAUCAAUCCAUCAAUUGUACGAUGUAAUAUUAAAACGUGCUCGCGUUGCGGGCACGAACGUGUAUAUUAUUGAUUGUAAUAAAUUUUUAUCCUUGAUGUGUACCAUUCAA